rnacentral:lncRNA from 1 species
AUGAAAUCAAAGAAAGAGGGACAAAGUAAGGAAGAUCCUCCUGUUGUGGAAAAUAAAUUUUGGAGAUUCGGUGUCUGCUCAAGGGAGUGUAUGCCCAGUUACCAGCACUAUUGUCCCAACAUUCCAGUUAGCCGUCCUGUCGAAGAGGAUACACCAACCCAGGACACUGAUAAAUACCGCCAACCGCCUGUCUCAGAUGAUAGUGAUGUUGAUAACUAUAUCGACAUGAUUGUCUCCGAUGAUGAAGGUCCAUACAAGCUAGCUCAGGAAUCAAUUCCAGCUCCAACCGAAUCAAUCAGUGCCAGUCUCACCUUGCCUGGAUCAAAAUAGAAAAAUAUCGGAAAUCAAAACUACUACCAAAAAUCGAUUUGAAGCCUCCACAGUAUUCAGUCCUUGAUGAGUCUGAUUUGCAGUUGCUUGAAAGCUCAUCUGAGGAUGAAAUCGUAGUUGACUCUGAUGAUGGAGAAGUGGAGAGUGGCUCUAGUCUCAUGCCAGAUUUGAAUGACAGUCCAGGGGCUAUCAAACACAAAUGUGUGGACUGUGGAAAAGGCUACAGCACAACAUGGUCUCUGAAAUUGCAUAUCCGCCGUGUUCACCUCGUAACCUCCGAAUAUGUAUGCCGUCUCUGUAAAGAUCGUUUUCAACACCACCAGACUAUGAAAUCCCACCUGACCAAGAUGCACGGCGACUCCACCGACAAGAACUAUACCGUUCUUACAAUAGCUGACAAAGCCUCUGCCAUUACCCCAGAGUUCUGGGCAAAAAGGUGUGUACCUUUUCUCCAUGAAUCAAUGAGUCCAAGGAAAAAAUCUUGUCAGUCUUAAAUCAUUACUCGUCUCCAGAAAUACUUGGCGCAGCCUGUUUCAUCAAAGUGCUCCAUUUUUUAAGCUUUAAUUCAAAUGGACAUAUUUCUGUCAAGCGGACCUAAGCGCCAUAUGGUGAGGAAGGUAAAGGGGGCUUGGAUUGGCGGCGGAACCGGGCGCCGGGAUCAUUCCGCCCUAUGCUCUCAAUUCUUUACCAUGGCGCUUAGGUCCAUUUGACAGAACGCGCUAUCCCGCAUUCUAAAUUGCUCAAAAGGAACUCGAAUUGGCCCUUAGUUCCGUUUGACAGAAAUACGUCCAUAUGAUCAACUAAUGGUUAGAAAAAGAAACUUAUUUGAAACAGCUGAAUAGAACCUUGUAAAAAAUUCAUACUUCUGAGGCUCUGAUAAUGCUCUACUCAUUAAAUUACUGGUUAUAAUUGUUUAGUGCAAUUUUAAGCAAUUCCUUCGAAAAAAAUUCCCCUACUUGCCAAACUUGUUGAGCACACUACUUAACAUAUCGCUCAACAUCGAACAAGAAGUGAGAACUUACUCAGCUUAAUUCAAUUUUGAGAAUUGCUUUCAAGAAGAAAAUGUGG